rnacentral:rRNA from 1 species
AGCCCUAAGAAUUAAUUUAGGGUGAGAUCUGCCCUAAUGAUUUUUUAAAUGGCCGCGGUACUCUGACCGUGCUAAGGUAGCAUAAUCAGUUGACUUUUAAAUGAAGUCUGGAAUGAAAGAAGAAACGGAAUUCUGCUGUCUCAAUUCCUUUAAUUUGAAUUUACUAAUUAGGUGAAAAGGCCUAAGACAAGAUAAAAGACGAGAAGACCCUAAGAGUUUAAGAUUUGAUUUUGUUGGGGCAACAAAGGAUCAGUUAAAAAUAUCCUUAAAUUUAUGUGACGGAAUUAUCAUGUUUAAAUAAACUACCUUAGGGAUAACAGCAUAAUUCUAUUAUUGAGUUUGUGACCUCGAUGUUGGACUAGGAAGCGUUUAGGCUAGCUGCCUAAAUAGGGGAUUCUGUUCGAAUUUUUACUCCUAC